GACGAACGCUGGCGGCGUGCUUAACACAUGCAAGUCGAACGGAAAGGCCCUGCUUUUGUGGGGUGCUCGAGUGGCGAACGGGUGAGUAACACGUGAGUAACCUGCCCUUGACUUUGGGAUAACUUCAGGAAACUGGGGCUAAUACCGGAUAGGAUCUCCUGCUGCAUGGUGGGGGUUGGAAAGUUUCGGCGGUUGGGGAUGUACUCGCGGCUUAUCAGCUUGUUGGUGGGGUAGUGGCUUACCAAGGCUUUGACGGGUAGCCGGACUGAGAGGGUGACCGGCCACAUUGGGACUGAGAUAGGGCCCAGACUACUACGGGAGGCAGAAGUGGGGAAUAUUGCACAAUGGGCGGAAGACUGAUGCAGCAACGCCGCGUGCGGGAUGACGGCCUUCGGGUUGUAAACCGCUUUCGCCUGUGACGAAGCGUGAGUGACGGUAAUGGGUAAAGAAGCACCGGCUAACUACGUG
rnacentral:rRNA from 1 species